rnacentral:lncRNA from 1 species
GUGGACUUCUCUCCUUUCUGGGGUCAUUCUGGCCCCUGAGCCACCCUCCAGUCCCUGGGUCCCCUAACACCAGGUUGACUUCCUGGACUCCACAGAACAUGUCCCCGUCCAUGGUCUCACCUAGAGCAGCCCUCUGGUUGCCACCUCACAGAUAUUACCUGUGACAUGCAGGAUGUGGUGGAAAGAAUCUUUAAAGAUCUGUGUGAAAUACAAUUAGCAAACUAAGACCAAAAACAACCAUGAGAGUUACAGAGGUCUUGACCAGAGUGGCUCAGGUAUGAGGAGGUGUGGCCCAGGAUAUUUUCAAUGAACCUCAUUUUUUAAAAAAAUAUUUUUUUAGUUGUAUGGACACAAUAUCUUUAUUUUGUUUGUUUAUUUUUAUGUGGUGCUGAGGAUCAAACCCAGUGCCUCACACAACCCCAUCCCUGAACCUCAUUUUUAAUAAGUGUCAAUACAGUGUUUAGUAAGUGUUGAUUCUAUUUCAUUUGGUAUUCAGAUCUUUUAACAAUGAUUUAUUCAACUACCAGAGAAGGCAUAAUGUCUUUGUAUGUGUAGGUUGCAGUGCUGGUGAUUCAACCCAGGACCUCACAUGUAAAAGGUAGGUUUUCUACUACUGAGCUACAUUCCUUUGUAUUUUUUUCAUUUUGACACAGAGUUCUCUAAGUUGCCUAGACUGGCCUCAAGCUUGUGAUCCUCCUGCCUCAGUCUCCCAGGUUGUUAGGAUUACAUACAGGUGUGUGCCACCUCACCUGGCUGUAUCAAGUGUUUUUCUGAACACACAGUGGGUUCUCUGACUUCUAAUUAGAACAAUAACAACAUGGAUUCCUGAGUGUGCUGGAACCCCAGCUGCUCUGCUCUGAAGAGAGCUCAAGUUCGUCUCCAGUAUCCGGCCACUGAACUUUAGCAACAGCACUGUGGGUUAUUCAUUUAUUCAUUUGUUGGAGAUGAGAUCUUGUAUGUUGCCCAGGCUAGUCUUGAACUUAUGCACUCAAGGGAUCCUCCUGCCUCAGCCUCAGAGGAGCUGGAACUAGAGGUGCCCACCACCAUAUCCGGUGUCACUGAGGAAUUUUCAACUGAAAGCCACCUGUACAUUUUUCCAUGAAACUUUUAAAUUUAAAACUUUAAAAAAUCAUAUUAGAUCCUGAUAAACUAGUAUGAUGCCAAGACUGCAUGUCCCAUAGUGGCAUUUUAUAUUUGUAUGAAAAAAAAAAUUAGAUGUUAAACCAAAGCAUCUGGAAAAUGCAUCUCAGUUCAGCUGCAAUGAGCCUAUUUUUAGAUCAACCAUGCUAAUAAUUUUGUUUCUCAGUAAUGUGAAGAAAUAUCUACUAUCUACAUCUAGUAAUUUUAAUAACUUUGGGUGCUUUGGCAGGACAGUGAGAAAGCUUUUCCAGUGGUGUGUUUUCAUUAAACAAAACCCUGCAUGUAGGAUGGCCCCUGUGUCUACUGCAUUCCAGCCAGAAGUGACAGGUGUGCUCCUCUUCACAAAAAUCUGUGGCCCUUGUGUUGUUCCAGACAUUAUUCAUGUCUAGAAAUUAUUGAAGCAAUCUGUGAUUGCUGCUUCUGGUUUUUAACCCCCAUUCAAGGGAGGUGAGGACUUUUCUUCCAGAAUAACCCAAGGCAAAAAUCCCACAUUUUGUGUGGCAGAAAUAUGGAGGAGGCUCUGUACUGGGGAGCAGGGUGCUGGUGCAGCACCCUACUGUGGGAGGGUGGCCGCCGUUAGCUCAUGAUCCCACCCCUGCUCAGAGCACCAUGAGGUGUGUUCAGAUGGGCUGAGUGGCUGGCAUAUAUCUUGCAAACUAACGCUCUAGAAGUUCACUUUCCAAAAUCACUACCCAUGUUGUGAUAUGAGGAUUCUGCUCAAUUUUCUUAGAAUAAUGGACACAUUCUUACGCAUAGUAUAACAGCGUCCAUUUUAUGCUUUGAAUAUAGCCCUUGCUGCUCUGCUACUUCAACUUAUUUUUAAAAUGGGCAUGUUUCUUUCUCUUCCUCUCUCCCUACUCCCCCAUAAUCUCAGGGGAAACAGGAUUACCUUUAUUCCCCACUUUAGGCAGAUUUAUCUUUCCUUGAGUACUCACCCACUGUAGGAACGAAGUCAUCCAGACUUUGGGGAUGGUUCCAGAAGAUCUCAGAAAUGACCAUCUCCCACAAAUGAAUUAUGACUCCAACAGAGAACACGUGGAGUGUAGCUUUUGAAUCACCUCUAUAAAUGUCCCUUGUUCCUGCUGGUGAGAAGAACCACAGGAGUCCUCUGUGUUUCUCCUUUG